AAAUUUUACAGAAAUCCACUGCCUGCACCGGAAAUUUCUGCAAAGGAAGAUGAAAAGAAAAAAAGACGAAGAAAUUGGCAUGAUGGGGAGGUGCACUGCCUGUGCCACUAUGUUCAAAGGCACAAAUCUGUGCUUUUUGGCAAGGCUGGCCAUGCCAGCGUUCCGGU